CCAGGUCAGGCCGGGGCUUACCCGCUUGAGUUUAAAC
rnacentral:rRNA from 1 species